AGAAACAACUGAGACCUGAAGCCAGGACCAUGGGCAAGCUCCGGAGCUUCUGGCACAAUUACAAGGUGUUGAUAGUGAUGGGCUCGGGCCUCGGCUUCAUUCACUGGGGUUGGUACACGAUCAAAUCUAACCCGCUCCUGCACCAGAACAGAGACGACUACACUCCCGAGCCGGGCAUCGUGUCCUACGUGUCCCCUGCACCGCUGCCUCCUCUCCCUGAACCCAGCAAGAAGAAGAGGGAGGCCAAGACCAAGGAAUAACAGACUGAGUGCACCUCACUGAGAGUGUACGCUGAGGAUGAAGAACCCGAGCUGGCUGAGGAAGAACUGGUUCUGGGUUGCGGGCGGAGCUUUCCUCGGCCUCCAUUUGUCCACGUGGAUCAUGCAGAAGGCGAUGAAGAAAUCCGUCCGCACCGAACAGCAGCUCAAACACAAAGGAGAGAGUUGAUACUCCGCUCUGAUUUAUAGAUGUUAUAAUCCACAGCUGCUUUUCAUCUGACUGUGUGCUGAAUGUGCGUUUUGUUCAAGAUCACAAAUCAGAUUUUUUUUUUUUUUUUUUUUUUUUUUUUUAAAUCACACACACACUGUAAAAUGCUGCAACGUGUUUUAAAGACUCUGACGGGUCUGGGAAUAAACAUAUGAGAUCGA